CUCCAGGCUUCGCCUUCUGCUGAUGGCUAUGAUUCACUCUUCGAUGGGGAUGGUUGUUCGCCGUGCCCUCUCUGUGAGUGCCCCCCAGCUGCUGCCUCGCUAUAACCAUGGUGGCCCUGCUACCAACUCCACAGCAGUUGAGCAUCUGGUCAAGAAAACAGAGGAAGUGGCUAAGAAAGAGGUGUUGUUUGAGUAUGUUGACAGCUUGGUUAAGGAACAAAAGGAGUACCCAAAACCAGUGUUGAAGGGAGCAGGGAUCCCAUGGUUUCAAGCUGUGGUGAUUAUUGCUUCGUUCAUGGCAGGAUAUCAUGUGGGGCUGGACGAAGGAACAGAAGCAACCUUUCUGAGACUUGGUAGAAAGCGACUGGAUUGAGGUAGGAUGGUCCAGUGGAGGGGGAUGAUGGUAAUUUAACCAAGUUUGAUGUAUCCUGACUAUCGCUAAUGCUGCUACUAUCACGUGUGGUCUAGUGGAGAUUGUUGCUGACUAAAAUGCAAAUGUACCUUGCUGCUUGCCAUUAAUGUGAUCAUCUGUCCAAAUCCUUGGAACAUGUGGAA